AGUGAACGCUGGCGGUAGGCCUAACACAUGCAAGUCGAACGGCAGCACAGUAAGAGCUUGCUCUUACGGGUGGCGAGUGGCGGACGGGUGAGGAAUACAUCGGACUCUACUUUUUCGUGGGGGAUAACGUAGGGAAACUUACGCUAAUACCGCAUACGACCUACGGUUGAAAGCAGGGGAUCUUCGGACCUUGCGCGAUUGAAUGAGCCGAUGUCGGAUUAGCUAGUGGGCGGGGUAAAGGCCCACCAAGGGGACGAUUCGUAGCUGGUCGGAGAGGAUGGUCGGCGACAUUGGAGCGUGGACAGGCACAAGGCUCCUACGGGAGGCAGCAGUGUGGAAUGUGGGGCAACGGGGGGAAGCAUUACACAGCCGGCCCGAGUGGGAGAAGACGGCGCUCGGGGCGUGAAGACGUCUUGUGGGGAAAGAACAGCUGCAGGUUAAGACCACGCGGGUGUGACGGUAACCAAAGAAUAAGCACCGGCUAACUACGUG
rnacentral:rRNA from 1 species